AAUUCUCAACCCCUCUUGAUUUUUUUCGAGGGGGAGCUUGGAUGGUGGGGGCUGCCGGAGACUAGGACUCGUCCUUGACUCGGGCUCUCCUUAAAUGCAUCGGCUUGCGGUCAACUUUCGACUUUGCGCGACAAGGCUUUCGGCGUGAUAAUGAUCGCCGUUCGCUGAAGCGCAUGGAUGAAUGUUCCGUGCCUCUAAUACCGUCGACGGUUACUAUCUCUUCGGAGAGAAAAGCGUCUUCCUUUAUCGAC
rnacentral:misc_RNA from 1 species